rnacentral:lncRNA from 1 species
GAUUGGGGUUUCUGUGAAGCAGCAGUUUACCGAGGAAGAAAUAUACAAAGACAGGGAUAGCCAGAUCACAGCCAUUGAGAAGACUUUUGAGGAUGCCCAGAAAUCAAUCUCACAGCAUUACAGCAAACCCCGAGUCACACCGGUGGAGGUCAUGCCUGUCUUCCCAGACUUUAAGGUCAGGCCCAAGGUGGGAGGUAGAAAGGGACAGCCUAUUUGUGCCUGUUCCCAUCUAACCCCAGUGCCUCCAUCUCCCUAGAUGUGGAUCAAUCCAUGUGCUCAG